rnacentral:rRNA from 1 species
UACGUAGGGGGCAAGCGUUGUCCGGAAUUAUUGGGCGUAAAGCGCGUGUAGGCGGCUCGGUAAGUCUGCUGUGAAAGUCCAGGCUCAACCCUGGAACGCCGGUGGAUACUGUCGAGCUCGAGUCCGGAAGAGGCGAGUGGAAUUCCUGGUGUAGCGGUGAAAUGCGCAGGAUAUCAGGAGGAACACCAAUGGCGAAGGCAGGACUCCGCUGGGACGGUAACUGACGCUGGAGACGCGAAAGCGUGGGGAGCAAACAGG